rnacentral:rRNA from 1 species
CCUACGGGUGGCAGCAGUGGGGAAUAUUGCACAAUGGGGGCAACCCUGAUGCAGCGACGCCGCGUGGGGGAAGAAGGCUCUCGGCGUGUAAAGCUCUUUUUGCAGGGAAGAAAACGCCGGUACGCGUAUAAGAAUGCACGGCUAAUUACGUGCCAGCAGCCGCGGUAAUACGGAGGGGGCAAGCGUUAUCCGGAGUUACUGGGUGUAAAGGGGGCGUAGACGGCGGUGCAAGCCAGGAGUGAAAGCCCGGGGCUCAACCCCGGGACUGCCGUUGGAACUGCGUGGCUAGAGUGCAGGAGGGGCAGGCGGAAUGCAUGGUGUAGCGGUGAAAUGCGUAGAUAUCAGGAAGAACACCGGUGGCGAAGGCGGCCUGCUGGACUGCAACUGACGUUGAGGCACGAAAGCGUGGGGAGCAAACAGGAUUAGAUACCCGAGUAGUC